UCAGCUUAGUCUGCAGAAUGUUUGUUGUGGCAGUUUCGCCUGUUGAAUACUCCUUCAAUCCCCAGUAUGGUAGGAUGAUGGCUCUAGCAUCCAGAGAAUGGAUUGAUUUCCUGACUGUUUGUGAUCCCCAGUAGAGUGGCUUAUAUUGCAGAAUCUACUUGUUAUGAUCAGUUUGCUAUAUGGAUUUGCCCAAGUAGAGUUGGUUUGUUGCAGAAUCUACUUGUUUGAUUUGUCCUCCCUCAGUGGUUU
rnacentral:lncRNA from 1 species